rnacentral:lncRNA from 10 species
CUGAUAAUAUGAUUUUCUUUGUAUUUAUCCCACUUAAGGUUUGAUGGACUUCUUAGGUCUGUAAGUUUAUGUUUUAAAUAAAAUUUGGAAAAAUUUUUGUCCAUGCUUCUCUAAGCAUUCUUUCUGUAUAAUUUUCUCUCUCAUCUCUUUCUGGGAUUCCAAUUGCUUGUGUGUUAGACUUCAUCUUGCAAAUUGUUGAGACUCUAUUCAUUCCUUUAAAUUUUUUUUCCAUUGUGAUUCAAUUUGGAUAAUUUUUAUUGAACUGUUGUUAACUUCACCAAUUCUUGCUUCUAUAAUACAUUGUUUAAUCUUUAUUUCAUCCAAUGAGUUUUUUAAAAUUUCACAUAUUAGAAUUUUCAGUUUUGUAAGCCUCAUUUUGUUUUUUAUUAGCAUUUCAUUUCUCUCCUGAGGCAUCUCAUUCUUUCGUCUAUCACACCCAUCCAUAGGUGCUUUAAUACAUUUAUCAUAGUUAUUUUAAAAUCCUGUCUGCUGAUUCCUAUAUAUGGGUUGCCAAGAUGUCUGUUUCUAUUGACUAUUUUCACUUGCUUAUGGGUUUCCUGCUUCUUCACAAGUAAGUACUAUUCAUUAUCGUGCAUAUUACAUUGUAGAGAUUCUGGGUUGACCUAUCUUACUCUGAUGAGGAUAGAGUUUUGUUCCAGCUGGCAGUUACUGAAGGAUCACCUUGUUUCUAUGAAUAUUUCAUUUAGACUCUGUAUGGCAAGUCUAUUUUACUCUGAAUCCUAGGUUUAGGCCUUAGUCUUGAGACGUGGCUCUUACUGCUAAGUUAUGGCCCUUCUGGAGUUUCACUGUAAAACUAAGGCCCUCUGAAUUAGUGAGAUUUCUUCAAACUCAGUCUCCCCAGCACUAGACAGCAAUGGAAAUAUCUGCACAGGCUUUCAGCCUCCCAUUUGUUGCUUUCUACUGGCUUUCUUGGACCUUUCCCUGAACAUGUACAGUUCAGAGUCAUCCAAGGAUUUGAGGAGAAUUUGCACACAGAUGUUGGGCUUCCUCCUUUGAGACUCCUUCCGUUCCAGGAUUUCUCUCUCAAUAUCCAGCUGUUUUGCCAGUCCCAAACUCUGACCUCUGACUCCUUAGCCCAGUAAGACUGAUGAUUUCUGCCUGAGCUCUAUUUCCAUACACUACACUACACAAUCCUUAGGGGAAAAAUGGGAUAAAUAUGGAUCUCAUCUGCUGUGUUUUUCUUCUUUUACUUUUAUUUUUUGGAGACAGAGUCUUGCUCUGUUGCCCAAGCUGGAGUGCAGUGGCAUGAUCUUGGCUCACUGCAAGCUCCGCCUCCCGUGUUCAUGCCAUUCUCCUGCCUCAGCCUCCCAAGUAGCUGGGACUACAGGCGCCUGCCACCACGCCCGGCUAAUUUUUUGUAUUUUUAGUAGAGACAGGGUUUCACCAUGUUGGCCAGGAUGGUCUUGAUCUCCUGACCUCAUGAUCCACCUGCCUCGACCUCCCGAAGUGCUGGGAUUACAGGCUUGAGCCACUGCGCCCGGCUUGUUUUUCUUCUUUUAAAAGUCAAAUCCUCUUAAGUUUCUGUAUGUUCUUCACUUCUCGCCAAUGCUUUCAAAUAAUUUUUUUAAAAUUUUGUCUGGAGUUUAAAUUAUCAACAGGAGAAUUAAUUCAAUAUAGAAUUACUGGGACAGGGAUAGCAUGGAAGUUGAUUUUAUUCUGUGUAUCUGACUUAAAAGGCUGUGAUUCCAAAGCAAAAGUGGUAAGAAUGCUCAAACAACUAAUUUGGGUAGUAGGGGAGUUUAAGAGCCAAACCCGGACUUUCGUAGAGUCUAAAAUUGGCAUUCAGGACAGUGAGCCUGGAGAGCAGUUAGGAGGCUGAGGUCUUUGUGUGGGCAUGUGUUGAAAGCUCAUUUUAGAGGGGUGGUGAUGGAAACAGGGAUGGUACAGGAGGGUUUAGCUAGACAAGAAAGACCUGGGUCUCACUGAAUAAGGAGGAAAAAGGAGAAGGAAGAGACAGAAAUUACUCUUCAGUUUUGAUCUUGAAAGACAGAAGGGCACGACUCUUGAGAAAGGCAUGGAAAUUGGGAAGGGAUGUUACAGGCGAAGGUGAUGAAUAGUUCACAGGGAGGAGGCAGUGUUGAAGGUCAGUUAGGGUAGAGGUAGUGAUCUCUUUUUGGGAGAGUGUAGAGAGAGCCAUGUGGAGACCCGGGGACUGAUCCUGAGCAAAUACUGGCAUUUAGAGGAUGGAAGAAGAAAGUAGAACCUUUGAGAGAACCUUCUCUGGAACUAAUCUAGAAGAGGCAUCAGAGAGGUAGAAGGGGAUCUGUAGGAGAAUCUGUUAAGAAUAAGGAGACCUGGAGAGUGCGGAAAGCUCAGAGGCCUAAAGUGGAGGAGUGGGGACAAGAAAAGACCAUCAGAGGCAAGCAGGUUGCUGGCAGUGACAGUGGUGAGAACAGAAGUCAUCAUAGGUUAAAUAGGAAGUGAGCUUAGUUACUUUAAAAAAAUCAUCUGCCUUUAAUGCAGUCCUAUCCCUCAUCCACCAGCUCUCCCAAUCUCAGGUCAGGCUCUUUGUUGCCUCUGGGAGACUGGCAGUUGCAGUUGUUGCCAAGUGGCAUUUACAGGCUCAGCUCCCUGAGGAUUAACCACCCAGAAGAGGAUUCAGCUCUGAGGACAGAGAGAUGAGCACACCAGUUGAGCAGCCUAACCUCCCCAUGUUUGGAAGAUAAAUGCUUCCCAUCCCAGAAUUUUAAUUUGAGCUUUCCAACCUUUCCUGCUUUCCAAACAUUUGGCUAAGAUGAUGGAUAACAUUUAAUUGUAUACGUGUCUUCCUCAAAGCAUUUUAAACAACCUUCUCCUAGGAUCCAAAUUGGCUGGAGAUAAGGCAGGAGGGAGACUUUGUUCCUUAAGCACCAUUUUCCCUUUUACAAUCUCAUCAUCAGCUUUUUGGAGCUGGUCUCAGGUGACAUUAACGUAGAGCUGGCUGUGGACACAGCAGGUUCUGGGCCCUGAUUAGGGUGCCCCUCCCAAGCUAAAAGACUAAGGCAUGAAUUAACUGAGAAUAAGGGUGAGAAAAGAGGAGGUGGAGAUGCUUUCUGGGGUCCAGUUUGAUGAAUGGAGAGGUCAUUAAGCAAGAUGGAGAAUAUAGGAGGAAUGAUGUGUUUGGAGAAGAUUAUGACCUCAGUUCUGAACUGUUUGGCUGGAGGAGUCUGUGAGAUCCAGAUGCUACUCAGUAGUCAAUGUUAUCUAUGAGUUAGGGUUCGGAAGAGAGCUCAAGGGUGGGGAUAAAGAGUAACUGGGACAUAGACUGUUGGGCAUGGUGUCUCUGGAUGCUUGGUUGGUUAUGAUUGAUCCCGUUACCCAUGUGGUGAGCAUAGUAGUCAAAAGUUAGUUUUUCUUUUUUUCUUUUUUCUUUUUUUUUGAGAUGGAGUCUUGCUCUGUCGCCCAGGCUGGAGUGCAGUGGCACGAUUUCUGCUCACUGCAACCUCCGCCUCACAGGUUCACAUCAUUCUCCUGCCUCAGCCUCCCGAGUAGCUGGGACUACAGGCACCCGCCACCACGCCCGGCUAAUUUUUGGUAUUUUUAGUAGAGUCAGGGUUUCACCGUGUUAGCCAGGAUGGUCUUGAUCUCCUGACCUCGUGAUCCGCCCGCCUCGGCCUCCCAAAGUGCUGGGAUUACAGGCGUGAGCCACAGCGCCCGGCCAC